UACAGAGGGUGCGAGCGUUAAUCGGAAUUACUGGGCGUAAAGCGCGCGUAGGCGGCUUUGCAAGUCGGGUGUGAAAUCCCCAGGCUUAACCUGGGAACUGCAUUCGAGACUGCAUUGCUAGAGUAUGGGAGAGGGAAGUGGAAUUUCCGGUGUAGCGGUGAAAUGCGUAGAUAUCGGAAGGAACAUCAGUGGCGAAAGCGACUUCCUGGACCAAUACUGACGCUCAUGUGUGAAAGCGUGGGGAGCAAACAGG
rnacentral:rRNA from 1 species